rnacentral:rRNA from 1 species
UGCAGUCGACGAUGAGCUGGAGCUUGCUCCAGGGAUUAGUGGCGAACGGGUGAGUAACACGUGAGUAACCUGCCCUUGACUCUGGGAUAAGCGCUAGAAAUGGCGUCUAAUACCGGAUACGAGCUUCAGCCGCAUGGCUAGGAGUUGGAAAGAAUUUUGGUCAAGGAUGGACUCGCGGCCUAUCAGCUAGUUGGUGAGGUAAUGGCUCACCAAGGCGACGACGGGUAGCCGGCCUGAGAGGGUGACCGGCCACACUGGGACUGAGACACGGCCCAGACUCCUACGGGAGGCAGCAGUGGGGAAUAUUGCACAAUGGGCGAAAGCCUGAUGCAGCAACGCCGCGUGAGGGAUGACGGCCUUCGGGUUGUAAACCUCUUUUAGUAGGGAAGAAGCGAAAGUGACGGUACCUGCAGAAAAAGCACCGGCUAACUACGUGCCAGCAGCCGCGGUAAUACGUAGGGUGCAAGCGUUGUCCGGAAUUAUUGGGCGUAAAGAGCUCGUAGGCGGUUUGUCGCGUCUGCUGUGAAAUCUGGGGGCUCAACCCCCAGCCUGCAGUGGGUACGGGCAGACUAGAGUGCGGUAGGGGAGAUUGGAAUUCCUGGUGUAGCGGUGGAAUGCGCAGAUAUCAGGAGGAACACCGAUGGCGAAGGCAGAUCUCUGGGCCGUAACUGACGCUGAGGAGCGAAAGCAUGGGGAGCGAACAGGAUUAGAUACCCUGGUAGUCCAUGCCGUAAACGUUGGGAACUAGAUGUGGGGGCCAUUCCACGGUCUCGUGUCGCAGCUAACGCAUUAAGUUCCCCGCCUGGGGAGUACGGCCGCAAGGCUAAAACUCAAAGGAAUUGACGGGGGCCCGCACAAGCGCGGAGCAUGCGGAUUAAUUCGAUGCAACGCGAGAACCUUACCAAGGCUUGACAUAUACCGGGAAACGUCCAGAAGAUGGUCGC